rnacentral:rRNA from 1 species
AUUGAACGCUGGCGGCAUGCUUUACACAUGCAAGUCGGACGAGUGGCGAACGGGUGAGUAAUAUCUCGGAACGUACCGAGUAAUGGGGGUAACUAAUCGGAAGAUUAGCUAAAACCGCAUAGUAUUCGCGCGGCCGUUAUCUGAUUAGCUAGGUGGUGGGGGAAAGGCCUACCAAGGCGACGAACAGUAGCGGGUCUGAGAGGAUGAACCGCCACACUGGGACUGAGACACGGCCCAGACUCCUACGGGAGGCAGCAGUGGGGAAUUUUGGACAAUGGGCGCAAGCCUGAUCCAGCCAUGCCGCGUGUCUGAAGAAGGCCUUCGGGUUGUAAAGGACUUUUCUCAGGGAAGCGGUACCUGAAGAAUAAGCACCGGCUAACUACGUGCCAGCAGCCGCGGUAAUAC